UUAUCUAUCUUUACGGAAAUUUCAUUAUAAUUCUUUAUACAAAAAUGUUGAUCUUCUUUUCGUUAUUAAAAACAACACAAACUAAAUUAAUUUUUACUUCCCCUUUAGACACUUUAUUGUUCCUCUGAAUAUUGCACAACGUCCCAGAUGGCGUCGUAAAGGCACAAAAUUACACAUUUACAAUGAUCAUACCUUUAUUGCCAAGCAUUUAAGCGGAAGCGGCUUGCAAUGCUCUAUAUGUAUGAAAUCAAUACCUCGACGACCCGGUAAACAGGGUUAUGAGUGUCGUGACUGUCAUUUAAUUUGUCACAAACAAUGUCAUGUCCGUGCACCACAAGCAUGUCCCAAUCCAACUGUACUCUCUAUGGAAUU